AAGAUUACUCCCUCCGUCCCUUUUUAUCUGUCCAUUUUGGAAAAAAAAACACAUACCAAGGAAUAAUUGAUUGCAUGAACUUUUUCAUUAAAUACCUCUAAUUAAUAUCUUGAAAAUGGUGGAAUACUCCUACUUUAUGUCUUGAAAACAUGAAUUCAACCAAGUUUUAAAUAAGUCAAGCCUUGAAAAUUGAAAUUAUGAAGAUAUAUUUGAAAAACUAUCAUUAAAUUAGUUUUGAAAGUAUAAAUGGACAGAUAAAUAGGGACAAAUUUUUACUUCCAAAGUGGACAGAUAAAUAGGGACGGAGGGAGUAUUACAAUAUGUUGAUGAGACUUUACGAUGAUCUUGAUCAACUCAAGCCUCCACAUGGCUGUGAGUGUGGGAAGUGUAGUUGUAAUGUUGCUGAGAAGUACGCGAAAGACAAGGAAGAAGAGAAGUUGCAUCAGUUUUUGUUUGGUCUUGACGAUGAGUUGUAUGCAUUAAUGCGGAGUAAUUUGUUGGAUGAACUGCCACCAGUUAGUUUGGAGAGAUCAUUACAAGCACUACUUGAGGAAGAACAUUCUCGAGGGAUUAGGAAGGGUAAGGCUGAGAAGAAUGAGGCUCUUAUCUCUGAAAAGCCAGAGAAGUCUCGAGCAUUGGAUAAGCAACUUAUAGUACUACAAGCCCUGCUGACUGAAAGCGAACCUGAGGAGGAUGCUCGUCCUUUUUAUGAAAGUCGUCAUUUUGUUAGUAAUUUUUAUAGUUUGAAUCUUCGUGCUGGUGGUAUUUCAGCCCUUUCUCGUAUAGUGCAGGAUGGUGAUUUCAGGAUGAGUACCAUGGUGGCUAUGGGAUCCAGAAUUUAUAUUUUUGGAGACCGGAUACAGGGUGAUAGCUCUGCAGUUGAUCCUGAUUCACCAAAUAAAAGGGCAUCUUAUUUUCUAGAUUUGGCCACAUCUUCGCGUGGUUGGAAAAGAGUGGAUCCCCCUCUUACUCAUGAUCAGUUGCAAUUGUAUGGUCAUCAUGUCAUAUUUGGUGACAAGAUGUAUAUCUUUAGAGGUUCUAAUUCGAGGUUUUCUGGCCCUUGUGAGGUUUUUGAUCCUCAACUUGAUCAAUGUCGUCGCAUUAAAUCUCCACCAGGUGGAGAUGGUGGCGAGGAAGGAGGAAAAGUACAGCUCAAGAUAACUCCUCCAGUGUUGGCGGAUUACAAAAAUGACAGAAUCAUGGUACGCGUCAAUGAUUCAAUGUACGCCUACUAUCCUUCUCAGGAUCGAUGGGAGUGUGUGGUGGAGGCCUUUCUUGGAUGGUCUUCAUCUGUAGACCCUGUAACACUUGUAGAUGGGGUUAUCUAUAUUCAUUAUCGCAAAAUGAUGGGAUUCUUUGAGGCUUUUGAUACAGCCACCAAACAAUAUUUGAAUGUUCAAGUCUCCCCUGAUGCUGUUGAUAAUUAUCAAUAUUAUCUACAUCUACGCAGCUAUAAUGCUUUGUUACAUCUGGGCGAUGGCAUUCUCUGCUUGCUUGGUUCUACUUAUCAGGAUCACGAACCCGGCCAACCCCAAACCUCCGCCGUUCAUGCUGCUCAAUUCAAAGUCGAGCUCGUCAAAAACAAUGACACAAAGGAGGUGCUUGUCACUCCUAUUUCUUCCAAAUACCAUUAUAUUAAUUCUCGGUGCUAUGUUCUUCGUUACCUUCUUCUCUAGGUCUUUGCACCUUCGGUUCAUUAGCAGCUCAUAUUUCUCUUAAUCCAGCUGUGAAUACUAUGGUAAACUAGUUCAGUUGGCUUAUUUCCUAAUCUUUUGUGCAGGUUUUUGCGCGUUUGGUUCCUUAGCAGCACCCUUUUGUUUUCAGUCCAGCUGCGGAUACUUUCUACAGCUGGCACACAUAUCAUAAAUAUUUGUAGGAACACCGAACACAGAUAUUGUGUAAUCUCAUGAUUUAUACCUACCAGAGAAGGGACGAGACAAGAAAGCCAACUGAUGGAUUGCAUUCUGAACUCGAAAACAUUAGUUUGGAGGAUAAAAAUUAACAUUUCAGUGUCAUCAAAUUGAAUGACAUAUCAGGGGUCUUUUCAUUGUCCUAUUCCUAAUUUUCGCCUUUGUCUAUUUACUAAUAUUAACAAUCAGCAAUUUCUCUCAACUGUUUUUCAGCAAUUGACUUGUGAUUUGAAGGUGCUAAAGGUAUAAAGUUACAAGUAUUAGUGGUAGCCGUUGUGCCAGAAUUCUACUGUCAAAUCCCAGUACUACUGGUAUUUGUAAAUCGAUGUGAUUUGAGUUGAUAAAGCCUAGUGCAUUCUACAGAGAAUAGUUUGCACCAAACAAGAUGAAAAAACAGAGUUUAUUCCCGUGAAAAACUAGGAGGAAAUAACUAGGCAAGAGUUUAAGCUUAUAUAAUCACUUCAAAUUCGAUUCUUUGUUUGAGUUUAGAGUCACCUAUAGAUCCCCUGAUUCUGAUUAUGAAAUGAAGACAGUCCAUGGUAUCCUUGUAAACUUCUUACAAUUCUUGAACUUGAAAGGGUCCGGUUCCGGAUUGAUGCCAGAAAAAAACAUGUACAUAAUAGAUUGUUUUCAACGACAGCAGGGACCUAUUGUCUUUUUGAAACGAUCGAAUGAAUUUUUUUGA